UGAAAACACUGACGUUUCAGCUCCGAAGCCUUCCUCUGGGACUUCCCCCAGAGAAAGGCUUCAGAACCAAAACGUCUGGGUUUUCA